rnacentral:lncRNA from 1 species
CUACCAGCGACCACCUUCUCCAACGAGCAUGUAGGUGGUAAGUACAAUCUUCUGUUCAAGAACUACUCUAAGAGUUAUAAAGGUCUUCUCUAUCUCAGCUAACCAAUACUCGACAUCUUCAAAUGUGGAUACCCUUGCAAAAGUAAUUGGAUCUAGUCUUUUAUACAUUUCAAUAUAGUCUAGGUCCAUCAUGAAGUGGAACUGGGUCCCGUGAAAGAGGGAAUGGAUUGUAUUGGGGAGGGACCGAGUGGCCUUGUGGUGGUGUAAUAUGAUACGGUGAAAGGACGAGAUUGUAUUGUGGUGAUGCCGAAUGAUGCGAUGGAGGCACCAGAUUGUACUGUGGCGGUAUCGGAUGAUACGGUGGAGGAGCAGGGUUAUAUCGGGGUGGCUCUAGAUAUUUCUGCUGCAAGGGUGGCUAAGACUGUGGCAGUGGGGGAGGGUCAGGCAUCUCCCUCAUUUCCUUCCGGGCCUGCUAGGCAGAGAUGAGUCUCUCCAGCAUCUCAAAGAGUCGAUCAACAUCCUCUCAAAACGAGCCAUCCCGGGCUGCUCGGUUUAGUGGGAUCUUCAUUUCCUCAUAUCUUUGUACAUUCACUUCACAAGGAAUGGCUGAGCGAUAGUUAUAUUUGGUGUUUUUAAGUCUUUGUGUAAUAAAUGAUUUCGAGGAACGCGGCUCUGAUACCAACUAAAAUGGCCUGGAACCUUAAAAGAAGUGAAUUUAUAUUUUGAAAUGCGGAAGCAAAUAAUAAAGUUAGGGUUUACAUUUCUUACACACUAAAUUUUAAUGCUCAAUAGGGUUAC